AUUAGACGAAUCAUCUGGAAAGAUGAAUCAAAGAAGGUAAUAAUCCUGUAGUCGAAAAUGUUGUCUCUCUUGAGUGGAUCCUGAGUACGACGGAGCACGUGAAAUUCCGUCGGAAUCUGGGAGGACCAUCUCCUAAGGCUAAAUACUCUCUAGUGACCGAUAGUGAACCAGUACCGUGAGGGAAAGGUGAAAAGCACCCCGGAAGGGGAGUGAAAUAGAACCUGAAACCGUGUGCUUACAAGUAGUCAGAGCCCGUUAAUGGGUGAUGGCGUGCCUUUUGUAGAAUGAACCGGCGAGUUACGAUUUGAUGCAAGGUUAAGCAGUAAAUGUGGAGCCGUAGCGAAAGCGAGUCUGAAUAGGGCGUUUAGUAUUUGGUCGUAGACCCGAAACCAGGUGAUCUACCCUUGGUCAGGUUGAAGUUCAGGUAACACUGAAUGGAGGACCGAACCGACUUACGUUGAAAAGUGAGCGGAUGAACUGAGGGUAGCGGAGAAAUUCCAAUCGAACCUGGAGAUAGCUGGUUCUCUCCGAAAUAGCUUUAGGGCUAGCCUCAAGUGAUGAUUAUUGGAGGUAGAGCACUGUUUGGACGAGGGGCCCCUCUCGGGUUACCGAAUUCAGACAAACUCCGAAUGCCAAUUAAUUUAACUUGGGAGUCAGAACAUGGGUGAUAAGGUCCGUGUUCGAAAGGGAAACAGCCCAGACCACCAGCUAAGGUCCCAAAAUAUAUGUUAAGUGGAAAAGGAUGUGGCGUUGCCCAGACAACUAGGAUGUUGGCUUAGAAGCAGCCAUCAUUUAAAGAGUGCGUAAUAGCUCACUAGUCGAGUGACACUGCGCCGAAAAUGUACCGGGGCUAAACAUAUUACCGAAGCUGUGGAUUGUCCUUUGGACAAUGGUAGGAGAGCGUUCUAAGGGCG
rnacentral:rRNA from 1 species